rnacentral:ribozyme from 1 species
AAAGACAUAAAAGAAGAACAAAAGGAGCACCAAAGUAGUGCUUGUGAUUGUUAACUUUCUUUUUUUUUUUUUCUUCUCCCUCCUCCUCGCUCGCUUCUUUGUUGCAUUU